UCAGGUGAAUUCCAGCAGGCGAGUCCAUUGCACCAUAGUGCUUCAUUAUAGUAGCAAUUGGAAGGAGCUAGGACUCAAACUGGGACUAUAUGAUAAUACACUGAGUACUAUAUCUGCAAGUUCCUCUGAUAUAGAAGAAUGCCUUAGAGAGUGUAUAGUCAAAUGGUUGCAGAGAGCUGAUGGUGUAGAUGAUAAAGGAGGAGCAACCAGGACCACACUAGUCAGAGCUCUUGAACAAUGCGGACAGUGGCAAACCAACAGCUGAUCUCAUCAGACGUAAGAGAUUAAAAAGAAUGCUGAUCAAUCCCAGACUGAUGAUGAUGAACUGUGUCCACCAACAACUAAAAAGAAUAAGCCAUCUUGAUAGAAAGAUAUGCACGCACCCUUUUUAUCAUAAUUUGAUUUCUGAUUUGUAAUAUUAAAGUUUAAUUACAUGAUUACUAUUAGA